UCCCCCGCGCGCGCGCUAACACACAUAAUUUUCACGGGCUAUAGCGCCGCUCAGUGGAUUUAUCUUAUUCCUCUCUGUUCAGUUAUAUAGUUUAUUGGGACCUUGGAGAACAAACAGAAUCGUCCUGUCCUUUGCCCGGUUCUUUUCUUGGUUGAAUGUCCGCAUUUGUAAUUGUCAUUAUGUCUAGUAACUAUAAUGACCCGCACAACUGUCAUUACGCGUGAUGUUUACGCCAAACGCGGGCCACGCGGUGUUUCCUGACGUGUACUCACCAACACUGCUGGAUGCAAGAAUUAUUGUUGAAAAAUGAGUGUGUAACGCGUGACCCCUCAUUUCCCACCUCGCUGACACCCUCUUUUCUGCAUCUGAGCCUCAUCUUGCAGGAGAGGCAAUCCAAGCUUUUGCUAACUGCAGAUAUCGAAGAGGAAUCUUAAACGGGAGAAAUUCUAGUUAAAAAGAGCAAGAUGGAGAACUAUUGAUCCCUUAUCCCAAAGGUGUCCACCGUAUGCAGAUGUCCCAAAGGUGCACCAGAGAAGGGUAAAUUAAGCCCUUAAAUGUGCAAUUGGCAAUAAUGAGCUAUCAUUACUCAAAUUACAGCAAGCACUGAUUGGGUUUAAAGUAAUGAAGAAAACAACAUGAUCAAUCAUCAUCAGGUCUUGAGAGUGUCAGGGUGGUGGCCGAGCCCUGCACCCACAUUGUUGGAGCAGAGCUCCAUCUUCAGGUGCCAGACUGGAGCAGAUAAAAGACCCCUCCAGCACACAAACACAUGUGAACAUCCUUUAUGAGAUUACAUUCGAACCUCAGAUGCUGCCCAACACACAGAGAUUAUAUCAUAUAUGGCAGACGUCCACCUUUGUCAUCUCACUGAGGCAAGUUUGUUCUCUUCCGUUAUUGUCAUCAGUGCGUACUUGCCCUCCGUAAGUGGAUGUAUCCAAAUGACAAUGCAUCAAACUUUAAUCACUCUUAAAAGUAUAAUUCACCCAAAAAUGAAAACUCUGUCUGCUUUUGCUCAAACCGAGUGUUUUUUUUUAAAAAUGCGAUGGAAGUCAAAGGUCACCAAAACUGUUUGGUUACCAACACAUAAUUAUAAUAGUUCAUUAUCUCUAUCGCCCACCAUUUAUUUUAAAGGCUCUCUCUCGUCAUUGUUGCCUGAUGAUUGAAUUGCUUUCGAAAAGGAUAUAUUAAAUUGUAGCUUUUUAUAAUCCAAGUUUUAGCGAAUGGCUAUACUGCAAAAGAUCUUGCACCACCUAUCAUUUUAAUACUCCAUCACACUUAUGUCAAUCUGGCUGCUGACAAAAUGAUUUCUUAAAUAAGUAGUCUUAGGAAAGAGAAAGUCAUUUAUGCCACAGUUCACCAGCCGAUAACUUCAAAAAGAUAAGGGAGUUAUAUAAUGGAGUGAAUUUAAGUCAUAUUAAGAGGAAUAUGCAGAUGAUGGCCAGCCAAAUACGUGUGGUGAUUAAAUGAUUUUAUGAGAUGAAUAAUGUAGAGUUGAGUCUUUCUUUGUGUGGUUUAGAGAGCUUUAGAGAGCUAGUUAGAUUUUUGUAUGCAUGAUUUUUAAUGCAUCAUGUGAUUCAAGAGAAUUGUGCAUCCUAACUUUUUAGACCAAGAGAAAUCAGUCUGGUUCAUCAAAAUCUGCACAUGGACUUCUUGAACAUUUCGCCUCUACACUCUUUUUACAUUCUGGAACAAAGUUUUCUCACAGAUCCAUUGGUGGCCCGGCAUUAGUGUGCAUGAAGGCUUCUGAAGUUGCCAUCAUCAAUAAUGAGGUCUCAUUUACACAAAUUACUCCGAACGCUGAUUAGGUAUUAUCUAACGGCAAGGGCCACCUCGAUCAAUCAUCAUCAGCGCACAGAGCGUCGAUGGACAUCAAAAGGUUAACCCAGAUCCAAUGGGCCCCUGGCAGUGUCAGCACAAAUCACUAGGGCAGGGCCGCCAUUCUGUCGAUAGAGCAGCCAGACAAUUAGGUAAUGAUUAAAAUAGCUGCACACAGGAGUCAAUAAGAAAAUGAGCCAUCCCGGCAUAAUUUUAGAAUGAUUUAUUUACCGAUCUAUAUGGAAGCAGGAAAAUAGGCACUCAAAUGCAAUGAUUGAAAGCCGGUUUCCUUAGUGUCACUAUCGUGAACUUUUCAGAGUCGUACUUUGUAAUGUGGUUGAGGUCUCUAAUUGAGAGUUGUUUGCAUGAGAGGCUGUUUCAUAACCAUUGUAAGGUUUGGUUUACUCUGGAGUGUCUAGCAUUGAUAUAUGCUCCUUGUUCAAGGAGUUACUAUCUAAAAGCAAGAUAAGUAUCAUAACAGUAAUUUUAUAAUAGUGUAGCUUUACCAGUAACAAGCAACUUUAUUUAACAGGUACGGUAGCUGUGUACUGCAACCGGGACCUGAUGUGAGAUCCACCAAUCAGAGAGUUUGAUUGGUGAAAUAGAUAAUAUCUAGUGGUAUUUUUGUGGGUUCUUGAGCCCCCGGCCACCCACAAGACUGGCUAUGUAUUAAAUUAAAUUAAAUUUAUGCAUUUAGCAGACUUUUAUCCAAAGCGUCUUACAGUGCAUUCAGGCUAUCAAUUUUUUACCUAUCAUGUGU